rnacentral:rRNA from 1 species
UACAGAGGUCCCGAGCGUUGUUCGGAUUCAUUGGGCGUAAAGGGUGCGUAGACGGUAGCGUAAGUCGGAUGUGAAAACCCAGGGCUCAACCCUGGGCCUGCAUUCGAUACGGGCAGACUAGAGUAUGGCAGGGGAGACUGGAAUUCCUGGGUGUAGCGGUGAAAUGCGCAGAUAUCAGGAGGAACACCGGUGGGCGAAAGGCGGG